CCUACGGGGGGCAGCAGUGGGGAAUAUUGGACAAUGGGGGCAACCCUGAUCCAGCAAUUCUGUGUGCACGAUGAAGGUCUUCGGAUCGUAAAGUGCUUUCAGCAGGGACGAAGUCCUGACUGUACCUGCUAAAGAAGCGACGGCUAAAUACGUGCCAGCAGCCGCGGUAAUACGUAUGUCGCAAGCGUUAUCCGGAAUUAUUGGGCAUAAAGGGCAUCUAGGCGGCUUUGCAAGUCCGAGGUGAAAACUAUUGGCUCAACCAAUAGCUUGCCUUGGAAACUGCUUUGCUAGAGUAUUGGAGAGGUGGACGGAACUGCACGAGUAGAGGUGAAAUUCGUAGAUAUGUGCAGGAAUGCCGAUGAUGAAGAUAGUUCACUGGACGAUAACUGACGCUCAAGUGCG
rnacentral:rRNA from 1 species